AAUGAACGUUGGCGGCGUGGAUUAGGCAUGCAAGUCGAGCGAGAAGUCCUUCGGGACGGACAGCGGCGAAAGGGAGAGGAAUACGUAGAAAUCUACCCCUGAGACCGGGAUAGCGUCGGGAAACUGGCAGUAAUACCGGAUAAUGUCUUAGGACCAAAGGUGUGAUUCCACUUGGGGAUGAGUCUACGCCCUAUUAGCUAGUUGGUGGGGUAAUGGCCUACCAAGGCGAUGAUGGGUAGCGGGUGUGAGAGCAUGAUCCGCCUCACUGGGACUGAGAACUGCCCAGACACCUACGGGUGGCUGCAGUCGAGAAUCUUUGUCAAUGGACGAAAGUCUGAACAAGCGACGCCGCGUGCGGGAUGAAGGCCUUCGGGUUGUAAACCGCUGUCGUAGGGGAACAAAUGUACGGGGGUACUCCCCUGUAUUUGAGUGAUCCUAGGAGGAAGGAGAGGCUAAGCUCGUGCCAGCCGCCGCGGUAAGAC
rnacentral:rRNA from 1 species